rnacentral:lncRNA from 1 species
AUGGUAUUAUUGAACUUGUUUUUUUUUUUUUUAGAGAAAGAUAGCAUGCUACUCGCUUCGUUUAUUUCUUUUUAGAAAUAAACUUAGCUGGAAAUAUGAGUCAACUAAAAUUCGAAUUUGAAAUCUCGAAUACUAACCACUAAGUCUUUUAUCACUUGUGCUAGGGACAGUCGGUUAUUGAACCUGUUAUAUAUUGAGAAUGGGAGCUUAUUAGUUUGGUGAAGCGCAGAGUUGUAAUGGAGAGAACUUUUUGGAGCACAGAGAAUAAG